rnacentral:rRNA from 1 species
GACGAACGCUGGCGGCGUGCUUAACACAUGCAAGUCGAACGGAAAGGCCCUGCUUUUGUUGGGUGCUCGAGUGGCGAACGGGUGAGUAACACGUGAGUAACCUGCCCUUGACUUUGGGAUAACUUCAGGAAACUGUGGCUAAUACCUGAUAGGAGCUCCUGCUGCAUGGUGGGGGUUGGAACGUUUCGGCUGUUGGGGAUGGACUCGCGGCUUAUCAGCUUGUUGGUGGAGUAGUGGCUUACCAAGGCUUAGACGGGUAGCCGGCCUGAGAGGGUGACCGGCGACAUGGGGACUGAGAGACGGCCCAGACGGCUACGGGAGACAGCAGGGGGGAAUAUGGCACAAUGGGGGGAAGUGUGAGGAAGAAACGCCGCGUGCGGGAUGAGGGCCUGCGGGUUGUAAACCGCUUUCGCCUGUGACGAAGCGUGAGUGACGGUAAUGGGUAAAGAAGCACCGGCUAACUACGUG